GAGAAUAAUCAGAUUAAUGUUUCGUAAAAUUUGAAAUUAACAAAUAGGAUGAAUAUUAGGUGGUCAACUUUUUGACUUUAAAUGAGGGUAGUGGUUGAAGGCCUGUUCUUUUCUCAAUCGCUCAAUUAGCGACAGCGACCAGAAAAAUAGAGGUUUAAAUGCUUUAUAAUUAAAAGAAUAGGUUCAUAAUACAGCUGACAGAGAAAACCAGCGACAACUUUAGAUUUAUAAACGAUGGAGAUGAAGUCGCUGAAAAAAUCAGCGUUCACCGGCGACAUCUCUUUUUCGAAUUUAAUGUCGUUGCCUUUUUUUUAUCUGUAGCUGCUUUAACUUUAGCGACACUAAUUAGAUAAAUCCAGUGCUUUUUUCAGUCGCUAACUUGAGUCGCGACGAUUGGGAAAAGAACAGGCCCUGAGUAGCGUGCUGUGUUUUUAUUACUACAUCAAAAUUGUUUAAAAUUCCACAUAAAUUAGGGUGGUAAGAUACGGUUUUUUUUUACUCCCUGUUUUUUUUUUGCAUAAUCGUUUCGUAAUUGAAGAAAUU
rnacentral:sRNA from 1 species